UACGUAGGUGGCGAGCGUUGUCCGGAUUUAUUGGGCGUAAAGCGCGCGCAGGUGGUGCGGUAAGUCUGCCGUGAAAUCUCCCGGCUCAACUGGGAGGGGCGGUGGAGACUGCCGGACUGGAGGGACUCAGAGGCCGGUGGAAUUCCCGGUGGUAGUGGAUGAAAUGCGUAGAAGAUCGGGAGGAACACCAGUGGGCAAGGCGGCCGGC
rnacentral:rRNA from 1 species